rnacentral:tRNA from 1 species
GCCGGGGUGGCGAAACUGGGUAUACGCGGCUGACUUAAAAUCAGCUGUCCCCUACGGGGGCGUGCGGGUUCGAGUCCCGCCCCCGGCA